UAGGGCGACUGACAGAUUGUGGUCUCCCAGA
rnacentral:piRNA from 1 species